rnacentral:rRNA from 1 species
AACGAACGCUGGCGGCAUGCCUAACACAUGCAAGUCGAACGAGACCUUCGGGUCUAGUGGCGCACGGGUGCGUAACGCGUGGGAACCUGCCCUUAGGUUCGGAAGAACUCCCCGAAAGGGGUGCUAAUACCGGAUAAUGUCUUCGGACCAAAGAUUUGUCGCCUUUGGAUGGGCCCGCGUUGGAUUAGCUAGUUGGUAGGGUAAAAGCCUACCAAGGCGACGAUCCAUAGCUGGUCUGAGAGGAUGAGCAGCCACACUGGGACUGAGACACGGCCCAGACUCCUACGGGAGGGAGCAGUGGGGAAUAUUGGACAAUGGGCGAAAGCCUGAUCCAGCAAUGCCGCGUGAGUGAUGAAGGCCUUAGGGUUGUAAAGCUCUUUUAACCGGGAUGAUAAUGACAGUACCGGGAGAAUAAGCUCCGGCUAACUCCGUG